rnacentral:rRNA from 1 species
GACGAAGGAUGCAAGCGUUAUCCGGAUUCAUUGGGUUUAAAGGGAGCGUAGGUGGCCUUAUAAGUCAGUGGUGAAAUCUCUCAGCUUAACUGAGAAAUUGCCAUUGAUACUGUAGGGCUUGAGUACAGAUGCCGUUGGCGGAAUAUGACAUGUAGUGGUGAAAUACAUAGAGAUGUCAUAGAACACCGAUUGCGAAGGCAGCUGACGAAACUGUAACUGACAUUGAGGCUCGAAAGUGCGGGGAUCAAACAGG